rnacentral:pre_miRNA from 1 species
AAUUGACCAAUUACAGUCGAAUCCGAGGGGAAUAAUCGACUGUGAUUCGCCCAUUUCUAAUGGUUUAAGGCUUUAAACCCUAUUGUAGAUCCGGGGUAAUUGAUCAAUUUCUUAAGGCUUACUACUCUAUUAUGUUUGGGGACUUACCCCGGAUCUACAAUAGGGUUUUAAGCCUUAAGCCAUAAGAAAUGGGCGAAUCACAGUCGAUUAUUCCUCUCGGAUUCGAUUAUAAUUGGUUAGUU